UACGGGGGGGGGCAAGCGUUGUUCGGAAUUACUGGGCGUAAAGAGCGCGCAGGCGGUCGAUCAAGUCGCGUGUGAAAGCCCCCGGCUCAACUGGGGAGGGUCACGCGAUACUGAUCGACUCGAAGGCAGGAGAGGGUAGUGGAAUUCCCGGUGUAGUGGUGAAAUGCGUAGAUAUCGGGAGGAACACCAGUGGCGAAGGCGACUACCUGGCCUGUUCUUGACGCUGAGGCGCGAAAGCUAGGGGAGCAAACGGG
rnacentral:rRNA from 1 species